ACUCAAAGACUGGAAUUUGAUACUCCUGGUAUUGGAUAUAGGAGUAGAGGUAUAUAUGUAUAGGAGUAGCGGUAGAUGUGUAUCGGGGAAAGGGUAACUAGGCAUCAGGAUAUUUAAUAAACAGAGCAGCAGCAUAAAUGAUGAUUAUAUGUGAGUGUGUGUGUAGAGUCAGUAUAAAUGUGUGUGUUGGAGUGUCAGGGUGUGUGAGUGCGUUAUGUGUGUGUUGGGGGUGUCAGUGUGUGUGACUGUGUAGAGUCCUGUGUGUGAAAUAUAAGGGUCACCCUAGAGUCUGCGUGGCCAUUCGGUCAACUAUUUAGAAGACUUAUGGCA
ensembl:lncRNA